CCUGCUUCUAGGUUUAAAAUGGGAGCUGUUGAGCAGUGAAUGUGAGUGGAUGCUUCUCUGGAUCUGAGGCGGUGGUCUCUCCUGUGGUCCCUCCUGUGGUCUCUUCUGUGGUCUCUUCUGUGGUCUCUGCUGUGUUCUCUUCUGUGGUCUCUGCUGUGGUCUCUCCUGUGGUCUCUCCUGUGGUCUCUUCUGUGGUCUCUUCUGUUCUCUCCUGUGGUGUCUCUUGUGGUCUCUCCUGUGGUCUCUCUUGUGGUCUCUCCUGUGGUCUCUCCUGUGGUCUCUCCUGUGGUCUCUCCUGUGGUCUCUUCUGUUCUCUCCUGUGGUCUCUCCUGUGUUCUCUCCUGCGGUCUCUCCUGUGUUCUGUCCUGUGGUCUUCCCUGCGUUCUCUCCUGUGGUCUCUUCUCGAGGUCUCUUCUGUGGUCUCUCCUGUGGUCUCUUUGGAGUUUGUUGGGUUGGCUGUCAAGCCAGUCAGGAAAUAGGAGAAGCAGGCUCCAGGAGAGUGUUGCCUUCCUUUCCUCAGGCCAACAUGCGUGGAAUCCUUGGUGAGGAAGCCGGGGAGCUGCUGUUGCUGCCCAUCGCACUGGCAUUUGACAUCCAGUGACAGAAGGUCAUGCGAGUGUGACCGGGGUGCCAUUCUCUGGGCAUCGCAAGCAUCUGGCCCUUUCUCCUGGAGGUUAAUUGGAGUGUGGUGAGUGUGGCCAGUGGUGAGGAGGCCACUAGAGCCCUCGCCCCUUCCCCAUACAGACGCUUUUGGAUAAACAACAGGAGAAGUAAUAGGUGAGUGGACAUGUUCCAAAGCAGACUCCCGGCCCCAAUCCCUCAGGGAAUGUCACCUCACCCUCUGCCAAUGAGUUUCUGGGGCUGCCUCCAUCAUAAAUACUGUGAUUAAAAUGUAAAUUUAGCCAACCUAUCAGCUUCCCAUUAAGGCGACUCUUUAAAAACGCCGUUAAUCAGUUGAAAGAUAUGUAGUGAAAUACCACUCAUCAAUUGUAACUGCUUAUGACAGUUAACAAAGCUUUAUAUUUGCCCCAAACAUGUGCUGAUCUAUCCAUUAUGCCAAGGUUCACUCUCGCGCUAAUUGUACAUUUUCUUCUCUAAUGCAUUUUUGCUGUUAUCCCAUAGGCUAAUGAACGCCAGGAAAUCAAUAAAUAUAAAUUAUACAUGCA
rnacentral:lncRNA from 1 species